UCGUACGGAAACUGAUUAAAGAGAAAUGGAAAGAAUAUAUUUGUUUAAAUUUGUCAAAGGAAAUUUUCUAAAAUCAUUGACCUUUUGAGUGCGGCGUCUAGGGUUUGGGCAGCUCUACAACCCUGGCCUCGACGUAUACCUUUUAUGCGCAAAAAAAGUGAAGAAUCGGAGGAAAACGCAGACGGAAACCAUUGAAUUUAUCCAUGAAUCUCAUUUUGAAGUUAACCGAAAAUAGCAUUUUAUGGUGAUCGCACCUGAAGCCAACAUAAAACGCAACGUGGCAGUGAUAUUUGAACGAUGAAAGCACGCAAAAAAUAAAAACCAAAAAACUUCCGCAGACGUCAGCAAGUACCGAGCAAGCAGGCUAAUAAGAAAAAAGAAUAAAUAAACGCGAGUCUGAUACAGAUAAAAUAUAAUGAAAAUAGAAAAUAAAUAUUAGCAGAAGUAGUGUGAUAUUUGUGGGCGGCAACCUGUGCCGUUGUCAUGCAUUUUGUUACACAGCAACGGGCACAAAGUCAGCACCAGCACCAGCCGCAGAAAUCCAAUCCCUCGUCUAGCUCCUCGCUGGCCUCCACAUCUUCCAUCUCCUCCUGUUCUGGAUCUGGAUCUGGAUCGGGCUCGGGAGCAGGGUCGUCACGGUUCGUGGCCCUUCGAAAAUCAGCCAGCCAGGGUGCCCUGCCCAAGUCCUUGGCCACCGCCCAGAGCCUCUUCCUUCGUCCUUCGGCGCAAAGUAAACACAAACGCACUGCCAGCUUGAAUGCGGCGCCCAUGAUUAAAGAUAUUGAUAUAACCGACCCAACAACAUCCAGUGUUAUCCUAACCGCUGCGACUCCCGAUAGUCCGAGCGGUAGUAAGACCCCCGCCAAUGCCAACAUGAUACCCGAGACCACCCAGCCCGAUCAGCUCCAGUCACAGUCACAGUUACAGUCACAGCCACAGUCGCUGUCGCAAACUCAAACACAGUCACAGCUCCAGGAUAAUCCGCUCCUGGACACUCCACAGAAUCCCCAGCAGCAAACGCAGCCGGAGGAGAAGGAGGAGAAGCAGGCGGAUGCCAAGUCCGAUGAGAGCAGUGCUGGCGACAGGCGCGACUCCAUCACCGAGGAGAUCACGAUUACGACCACCACCACCACCAGUACUCUGAGCACCAAGCUACUGACCAUCCAGGAAGCCGCCGGCACCCUCGAACAGAGCAGCCUAUCCAAAUCGUCGUCCUCCAAACAGAUCGCUUCCACGACAGCCGGUGGAUCGCCGCCCAGCAGUGCCCGUCUCUCGCCAAAGCAGCGGCAUGACUCCAGCGGCAGCAGUCCUAGCCUAGGACAAACUGCCACUUCCACGAGUCCGUGCGCCACUUCCAGUCCCCUGAAUGCCUCCUCCCAGGGCGCCACGCCCAGCAUAAAUAUCGUGUCCAGCGACUCGAACCGGGAUCAGCAGCCACUCCAGUCGCAGAGCGUCGACUCGAACGGGUUCAGCGGCGCUCCGAGCGGCGGCGGAUGCCUCACGGAUAGCCCCAGCAGCCGCAAGAGCUCCACCAGUUCCAAGGGGAAGGCGAGCCAGCCCAAGUUGUCCACCUCCAGCAGCGGACGUGAUGAGCAGGACAUCUCCCAGCACCGGCUGAGCGACCUCACUCCCCACGAGCUGAGCCUCCUGCGCGUCGACAGGGAGCAGCAGGUGACCAGCAGCAGUUCCACCUCCAACGAGAAGCCGGCCAAGCCCUCACGGCUCUCGGAGCGGGCCAAGAAGAAGUCCUGGUACAACGUCAUCUAUCCCAACUACAAGUCACGGGCCGAGGACUUUAAGAAGCUCUUCAAGGAUGUGCCCAACGAUGAGCGUCUGAUUGUGGAUUAUUCGUGUGCCCUGCAACGUGAUAUUUUAGUCCAGGGUCGAUUGUAUGUGUCACAGAACUACGUCUGCUUCCACGCCAACAUAUUCUCGUGGGAGACAUUCCUGAGCAUCAAGUGGAAGGAUGUAACGGCCAUUACCAAGGAGAAGACGGCCUUGGUGAUACCCAAUGCCAUUUCGAUAGCCAGCGGCAAGGACAAGUACUUCUUUGCCACGUUCACCUCGAGGGACAAGAGCUUCUUGAUGCUCUUCCGUGUCUGGCAGAACACGCUGAUGAACAAGCAGUUCUCGCCACAGGAGAUUUGGAAGUAUGUGCAUAGCUCCUACGGCGAGGAGCUGGGCCUAACCACCGACGACGAGGACUAUAUCGAUCCCACGCUGGACAACGGCAACGAGACGGACUUUGACUUCCAGACGGCCAUCGACGACGACAGUCAGUCGCAGCGCCAGUCGCAGCAGUCGAACCAGUCCACCCAGUCCAAUCCCCAGCUGCCCCACAGCGGCAACAGCAGCGCCAGCAGCGGCGGCGGUGCCAGCCGUGCCUCAGCGCCCCGCAAAUCUAAAACGAAAUACUUCUUCAACUCAUCCAAGUCCUCGGCCAACGCCUCGGCCAGCGGUUCGGACAACAACAAGACCAGGGAGAGUUCACGGAAACUCAACAAGAAGAUGAAACAGAACGCCAAAGAGUUGACGCUCAGCUCCGUGAAGCCGGCGGAGCAAUCGGUCAGUGUCACCAUGACCCAGGUGCCCCCAGCCAGUAGCAGCAGUACUGCCGGCUCCGCGACGAACACAUCCACCUCCUCCACAAUCGCCAAUCAUUCCGGUUCAGGAACGUUAACUGGUUCGGGAUCAGGCUCUGCCCCUGCAGCUCCUGCAGGUGGCAGCGAUAAGAAGAGUGCAGAAAAGAAAAUAAGUACGGUUUCCAGUUCAGGGGCAGCAGCGACGGCCGGGACGGCCUCAGUGUCCCACGUAGCUGGCACUUCAGGGUGUCCUGCGACGGAAUCCAAACUGGAGACCAAACGCAAGCUGAGCAAAAAUCACAAAAACGCCGAAGAGGCCGUGCCCACAGAUGUGUCCGACUCGUCGGACUCUGAAGCGAACAAUGUUCCAUUUGUGCCCACCACAGAAUGCACCUCCACGCACGAGGGCCGCCAGAUUGUUCACACCAUCCUGCCCAUCAACGUGGACACUCUGUUCAAUAUGCUCUUCAGUAAAUCCAAAUUCCUGACGGACUUCCAUGCCUCGCGCAAGUCCACCGACCUCAUAAUGGGCGAGUGGUCGAGGAACGAGGAGGGCCUGAAUGUACGAACCGUGAACGUCACGGUGCAGUUGGCCGCCUCCGUGGGUCCCAAGUCUUCAAAGGUAACUGAGUACCAGACCAUGCGGGAGUGCAGCAAGCCGGGGGAACUGUAUUCCAUAGACGUAAAUAGUGUAAAUGCAGGCAUUCCAUAUGCGGACAGUUUCAGUGUACUCAUCCACUUCUGUCUGGCCAGAACGGUGGAUGAUCACACGAUGUUGUCGGUGCACACCCAGAUCAAGUACAAGAAGUCGAUUUGGGGCGUUGUCAAGGGAUUCAUCGAGAAGAACACGUGGGCGGGGUUGGAGGACUUCUUCGGCUCCCAGCUGCACGCCCUGCAGAGUGAGACGUGCAUUCCGCCCGCCAAGGGCAAGGGACGUCGUCCGAGGAGAGGCAUGAAUAUCCCUCCAUCUGGGACAUCAACUGCAUCCGACACAGCAACUGCGACAACCACCACCACUACGGCAGUGGCCACCACCACGAGUACGGACAAUGACAGCAUUCACGAGGCGUCACAUCAUCUGUCACCUGUCACCGGCAACCUGUUGCUCCAAUCCCAUCAACAGCACCAGCACCAGCACCUGCACAUGCAUCACCACCACCACCAUCACCACGGUAGCCAGCAGCAUCAUCACCAUCAUCAUCAGCAUGGCCACCAAGAUCCCAGCAGGCCCUCCCAGCAUCAUCAACAGCUUUCCAAUCACCAUCACCAUCAUCAUCAGCAUCCCCAUUGGCAUCAUCGUAAGACAGUAUUUCAGUCGAGCCGAGGAACCGCCACACAAAUACGCCCCCUGGAGGAAGCAGGCGGCACGGCACAGCCGGGCAUUGCCGGCUUACCCGGCGACACCCUGGACACCCAGCCGCUCGUCCCCGGGGCUGCAGUCGGCGCCGCUCCCGGUCAUCCGCUGCUGCUCGAAGGCGGCAAGCUGCACCAGCAGUCCCAUCUCCACCACCAACAGCAGCCGCACCAACACCACCACCUACAGCAGCACCACCACCACCACAAGCAGCAGCAGCAGUUGCACCCGGGCGGCGACGACGACGGCCAGCCACUGGCGAUGGGUCAAGGGCAGGGUCACAGACUCGGUUUCAGAAACAGGGGCUUGUCGUUGUUGGUUAUUCUGUUGCUGUGCUUGAUGCUGGCAUUAAAUGUGAUAUUAUUACUUAAGCUCUGGAAGCUGGAGGAACGGAUUGACGUGGAUCUCAGUCGGCGGGCGCGACUGCCCAGCUUGGCGGCCUUAAAGGAGCUACCUAACACAAAUCAGGAAUGGCUGGAGCUGCUGCGCGAUCAGGAGAUUGCGCACGAAGCCGAGCUGGACAAAUGGCAGCAGGUGCUUCAGACUGCCAUCGAGUUGCUGAAAAAGGUGAGCAAUGUGUGCGAAAAGAUCUACAACGACGGCAAGCUGCGUCAGCGAAUCGAGUCGAUGUCGAUGCCGAUGCCGGCUCCGGCGCACAGUGAAUUCUAAGCGUCUCAUUAGGCCGUGAAUAACAUCAGUGCUACACCACCACCACCCACAUCAGGAACAGAAAUCAGCAAGCGACAGCUAAUUGCAACCUUAACACUCAUAAACCCCCACACACACACACAUGUAUACUUGCAGUGCGUUUCGAAAUUGUAAGACAUUUUGAUGCAGUCUUAGAAUAAGUCGAAGGAGUUUAGUUUUCUCUGGCAGCUAAUUGACACAAUAGUUUGUUCAUUAAAAGAGAAUGAAAAACCUUUCAGAAAAGUCUGUAAUUCAAAAUGCCUUAAAGCCAGGAAGCGCAGUGUUCUAGCGGACAUUUGUAACUGAUCUCUUAGUUAGUCUCUAGCAAUACACAAACCCGAAACUGUUGCAUGUCCUUCUCCCUCUGUUCAGGAAAUGAUUUCUCCACCGCUGACUGAACAACUACAGCCACCGGAGAAAUCAUUUCCUUAGCCAUAAGUUCUGUAUUCCGUAGAGAAAACUCAAGGCGAAGUCAUUUCGAUGUGUACCAUUUAUGAAAUUUAUAAGAACUGAAAUCAUGUUCGAACCAAAAUUCAAAAGUUCAGAAAGAGGCCAGUCCCACACACCCCCAGUCACAAAUUAUAAUUUUUACUGAAAGAACUUUGGCUGAAAUGAUUGUACGCUAAGCAACUAAUUAAAUUGAAAUUGAAAUUGUGCAACUAGCAUAUUAAUCCAAUCCAAUUGUCUUCGACACAAGAAAGCGAAAUACGCAAAGCACACUAGCCCUUGGCGAAGUGCAGAGCCACAAAAAAAAAAAACAAAAUUAAACAAGAAAAUCUGAAAUUGAAUUUAAAAUUCAACUAAAAUUUAGUCACAACCUACAUUGUGUAAGAAGCAAAUUAAGAAAAGAAAAGAAAAGAAACUAACUGUCAUUUUGAAACAUUUACGAUUAUGUUGUAGUAGUUUAAGAGAAGCAGAGUGUAAUCUAGCUCGUAGGUAGCUGCAUUUUAGUUAGAUUAGAGCAAUUGUAUGUUUUUAAUCGCGGCAUUUAUGUACGUGUAGCACCCGUCGUUUGCUUGACUUUGAUUUAGACGAAAGUUUCUACGAAUUCCUCAAGUAUUUCAUAUCUUACAACAUACCAAAAAUCGUAGCGAAUCAAGGAGCGAGCGCCCUGAAUUUUUGUUUUAGAAAAUUCAUUUACACGUCAGAGUGUCUAGUGUCGAGAGGCGAGAGUUGAGAUUUGAGAGUCGAGUAAGCGCAAAAGCUGGCCAAUAAAAGCCCAAUAAGUAUAAUUAAUGUAAUCUGUAGUUGCCACUGUUUUUUUGGCCAGAAAGAAUUUGAUAAAACCGUUUAUACAAAACUGUUUAUUGUGUACGAUAUUUUUGUAAACCAGUCGAAACAAUUGUGAGCAAUGUUUUGGUUCUUUUGUGAAACUCCUGCUACUAAGUCUACACCCCAGAACCGUACACAGAAAACGGAUUUAAAUAUUUAAAGCGCUAAGCCAGAUGAAAACCAAUAAUUGCGUACUCUAUAUACAUUAUAUAUAUGUUACAUAUAUAUGCAUAUAUAUAGCCAAGUAUUGUUAGUCGGUAGUAGUUGCAUUUUAAAUCAAUAAGAGAACCGAAAUUCAAGAAAGCUAAUUAAAGCAGUAACUCGUGCUAGUUUCGAAUGUGAAUCGCAUUAAAAGGAAUAUUAAGGUAAUUAGUUAAGGUCAUGCAUGUUGGUUAACCCAAAAAAACAGUCAAAUUUGAGCCUCAGCCGAGUGGGCUUACAAUUUUUGUCACAACCUAGACUUUUAAGAAACCGAAUGUUACGCCGCAGCAAAGAAAAUUCUAAUUUAUUAUAAAACCGAAUAAAGAAAACAAUGUGUUUAAUUGAC
rnacentral:misc_RNA from 1 species